UGGGGGUACAAAAACAAAAACCUUUAGGACAAAUUUGUUUGUUUUCAUCUUUACAACAAAAUCCAUUUUUAGAUGGACAAUUCCUCACACAAUCAGAAUCUUGGGUGCAACGAAUUGGUAACCCUCCAGUGUAGGCUUCAGCACUUGGUAACUCAAAGAUUGUGGUGCCUGCAAAUUGAGAUCAAUAAUUCAUGAUUAUAGAGAAAUGAAAUAAAAAGCGAAAUGUGUUAGUAAUUAGUAAAAAAAUAUACAAAGAGAGAGAGAGAUAUUUGGGACAUUGACUAACCAAAUGCAACGAUCAUGAGGACGACCAAGAAAGUUAGUUUAAACGAGACUUUCUCCAUUUGCUGUAAGAAAAAGAUUAUGCAGGAUGUUUCUUUGAGUGGGAA
rnacentral:lncRNA from 1 species